rnacentral:tRNA from 1 species
GUCCCCAUCGUCUAGCCUGGUCCAGGACACCGGCUUUUCACGCCGGCAACAGGGGUUCGAAUCCCCUUGGGGACGCCA